GAUGAACGCUGGCGGUAUGCUUAACACAUGCAAGUCGAACGGUCACUUCGGUGAUAGUGGCGGACGGGUGAGUAACGCGUGAGAAUCUGUAUUCAGGUCGGGGCCAACAGUUAGAAAUGACUGCUAAUACCGGAUGUGCCUUUGGGUGAAAGAUUUAUUGCCUGAAAAAGAGCUCGCGUCAGAUUAGCUAGUAGGUGGUGUAAGAGACUACCUAGGCUCCGAUCUGUAGCUGGUCUGAGAGGACGAUCCGCCACACUGGAACUGAGACACGGUCCAGACUCCUACGGGAGGCAGGAGUGGGGAAUGGUCCGCAAUGGGCGAAAGGCUGACGGACCAAUACCGCUUGAAGGACGAAAGCUUUGGGGUCGUAAACCUCUUUUCUCAAUGAAGAUGAUGACGGUACUUGAGGAAUAAGCAUCGGCUAACUCUGUG
rnacentral:rRNA from 1 species